UACGGGGGGGGGCAAGCGUUGUUCGGAAUUACUGGGCGUAAAGGGUGCGUAGGCGGUUGUUUAAGUCUGUCGUGAAAUCCCCGGGCUCAACCUGGGAAUGGCGAUGGAUACUGGGCAGCUAGAGUGUGUCAGAGGAUGGUGGAAUUCCCGGUGUAGCGGUGAAAUGCGUAGAGAUCGGGAGGAACAUCAGUGGCGAAGGCGGCUCUCUGGAACGGGUACUGACGCUGAGACGCGAAAGCGUGGGGAGCGAACAGG
rnacentral:rRNA from 1 species